AGCCAUGGGCCUACUGGUUAGGGCUUUGGGCUUGUAACCGAAGGGUUGCCGGUUCGAUCCUUAACCAGUAGGCACGGCUG
rnacentral:tRNA from 1 species